UUGUGGACUCCUUUGUGGGCCGGUCGUACAGGUGUAGGACCAAACGUCCAAGUAGUGGCUGAGAUGGCCUUAUUUAGAAAGAGAAUAAUCAGGGAGGAUUUUUAGGAUCUGGCUAUUGUUUGUUAGGAAAGGAAUGCACCUGGAUUAUAAAGGAUGCACUUAGGAAUGUAAUCAGGUUUAUCGAAGAAGAAUAGAACCUCCCGUGUGGGUGGGGUUCCUCUUCGAUGGUGGCUGCGAGCGCUUCUGCCGCUGCUGCCGGCGAUUCCCCCACUGCAGCAUUGCCUCGCUAUCCCCUCCGUUCCAACUCGCAGUCAAGUCUUCUUCUCCACUCUCCUCUGCGUUCCCCACGGCGGCAGCGCCGUAUCAAUUUGCUAUCAAAGACCCCUUCCGGUGCAUCGACAGCCAUGUCCGGCACCGUGCCCGAUCCUGGGCCAUGGACGCCAUGCUUGAUAGGAUUUUGGGUCAACUCACCAUCAUGAACAACCGCCUGAACUCCCACGCCUCCCGCCUCGCUCGGGUGGAGACCGACAAACCCGACGCCGGCAAGGGCGCUGGCAGAGAAGACAGUAUUGGCGCCGAAGACGAGGUGAAUGACGAAUUCGAGCGUCGCGGCACGGAUCGGGACCCCUUCGACUGGCGCGGACGCGAAUUUGACAGCCGCGGCGGGCGCGACUAUGACGACCGCGGGCGCGGCUACGUCGACUGGCGCGGGCGCGACAUCUACGAACGCGGCUACGAUGACCGCGCCGACCACGGGUUCUCCCGCACAGGCCGUGAUUUCGGGCGCGGCUUCCGCGACAACGGCCGCGACUACGAUGACGGUGGCGGCCGGUCCUUUGAUCGACAUCACGAGCCACACAGACCGCCGAAGAUUCCGUUUCCAACCUACGACGGCGAAUCUGAUCCACUGACUUGGCUGAACAAGUGCGAAAACUUCUUUCGCGGCCAUCGUGUCCCGGCAGAUGAGAAGGUGUAGAUGGCAUCCCUAUACCUCGACGGCACCGCAGCGGACUGGUACUUUCAAAUGGAACGUGACUUCGGCUUGGUCCCGUGGCCACGUUUCGUCGACUUCGUCAACCUCCGCUUCAGGCCACCAGUUCGCACCAACUCGAUCGCGGAGAUCAAGGCCCUGGUUCGCAAGGGCACGGUGGAGGAUUACUCGUGGCGCUUCCAGACCCUGCUCGCGCGCUGCGCCAACCUCGCCCCGUGCACGGUGAUAUAUCUCUACACGGGCGGUUUGGGACAGCCGCUGGCACAUGACAUCGAGAUGCAGUACCCCGCCAAUCUGCAGAAGGCCAUCAGCCUCGCGCGUGCAUUCGAACAACGCCACACGGAGGCCUCCACCGCCAACAGCUCCGCCGCACCCAAGCCUUCUGCGCGUCGUGUCAGCGUCUCGGCCAGCACUGUACCUCCGGGCACGAGUGGCACAGACGGGCCGCGACCGCGCUUCCGUCGUCUGACUCCGGUGGAAAUGCAGGAAAAAAGGAAGAAUGGGCAAUGCUAUUUUUGCCCUGAACCCUACAGCAAGGACCACCAGUGUGCUGCCAAAAAUGUCUUCCUCAUGGAGUUGGCGGAGGGCGAGCCAGAUCCCCUUGGUGAGGUUCAUGACUUGGAGAUUUCCCUUGCCGCACUGACUGGCCUCAAUUCUGCAGAUUCCAUGAUGUUGCAGGUGUCUAUUGGUGGUGCACAUUUGAGGGCGCUGGUGGACACGGGCUCCACUCACACCUUCGUCCACUCAGCCCUCGUGCAAUGCUUGGGCCUUGCCGUCACCCCACGAGCCGGCCUCAAUGUCAUGGUGGCCAAUGGCGACAAAGUGCGCAGCCCGGGCGUCUGCCUUGCUAUCCUAGUCACCAUCGACACCGAGACGUUCUCCAUCGACUGCUUCGCCCUCGACUUGGGCGGCUUCGACUUGGUGCUCGGCGUGCAGUGGCUGCGCACGCUGGGGCCCAUCGUGUGGGACUUCGGCGCCCUGGCGAUGUCCUUCUGGUACAAUGGCCGGUCCCAUCACUAGACUGGCGUGCCGGGCCAGGGCGUCGCUGCACGCGCCAUCACUGACUCCAGGACGGUCCUGGACGAGCUGCUGCUGUCCUACCAGGACAUCUUUGAGGAGCCCCGCGGGUUGCCACCGGCACGCCGCCACAACCAUCGGAUCCACCUGCUGCCGAACGCACCUCAGGUCACGGUGCGGCCGUAUCGGUACCCGCAGCUCCUCAAGGACGAGAUCGAGCGGCAAUGCGACGACAUGCUGGCGCAGGGGAUUAUCCGGGAGUCGACCUCACCAUUUUCCUCCCUGGUGCUCCUCGUCCGCAAGCACGACGACAGCUGGCGCUUCUGCGUCGACUACCGCACCCUCAACAACGCGACGAUCAAGGACAAAUUUCCCAUUCCAGUCGUCGAUGAGCUCCUCGAUGAGUUGAAGGGUGCCCGCUUCUUCACCAAGAUUGAUCUACGCAGCGGGUACCACCAAGUGCGGAUGCACCCGGACGACGUCGCCAAAACAGCCUUCCGGACGCACCGCGGACACUUCGAGUUCCUGGUGAUGCCCUUCGGCCUCACCAACGCGCCGGCGACCUUCCAAGCCCUCAUGAACGACGUGCUCAAGUCGUUCAUUCGUCGCUUCGUCUUGGUUUUUUUUGAUGAUAUUUUAAUUUACAGCCCCACGUGGGCUGAGCACUUACAGCAUGUCAAGGCUGUGCUGCAGCUUAUGCGCGAUCAUCGUCUCUUCGCCAAGCGUUCCAAGUGCUACUUCGGAGAACCAUCAGUGGCCUAUUUGGGCCACAUUAUCUCAGCUGCGGGCGUCGCUAUGGAUGCGGACAAGGUGGCGGCUGUGGAGGCUUGGCCACGACCAUGCACAGCCAAAGCUCUUCGGGGCUUCCUGGGCCUCACCGGCUACUACCGGAAAUUCAUCGCCGGUUAUGGUGGCGUUGCAGCGCCCCUCACCGCCCUCCUCAAGCGGGAGGCGUUCAGCUGGUCAGAGGAGGCAGAAGCUGCCUUCGGCGCCCUCAAGUCAGUCCUCGUCACCGCACCUCUUCUGCAGCUUCCGGACUUCACCAAGCGCUUUGUGGUGGACUGCGAUGCCUCUGGCGCGGGAUUUGGCGCAGUCCUGCACCAAGGCGACGGCGCCAUUGCGUUCUUCAGCAGGCCGGUUGCUCCCCACCACGCCAAGCUGCCCGCCUAUGAGCGCGAGCUGAUUGGCCUUGUCAAGGUUGUUCGUCAUUGGCGACUGUACCUAUGGGGCCGGGCGUUCACCAUCCGCACCGACCAUUGGAGUCUCAAAUUCCUCCUCGACCAACGCCUCACCACCAUUCCACAACACACCUGGGUCUCCAAGUUGUUCGGUUACGACCUCACGGUCGAAUACCGGGCCGGUAAGUUCAACACCAUCGCCGAUGCCUUGUCUCGCAGGGAUGAGGACGUCGCUGCGCUGGUCCUCUCAGGGCCCCUCUUCACCGACUAUGGGGUCCUACGCGAGGAGCUGCAGUUGGACGCCACUGCCCAGGAUCUGUGCACCCGCUUGGCUGCUAGAACAGCACCGGCAGGGUGGCAACUGGUUGAUGGUCUUCUCUACAACGGCAAGGUCUUCGUUCCGGAGGAUUCGAGCUUGUGGCCUCAGCUCCUGCGUGCUGCACAUGAGGCCGGCCAUGAAGGGGUGCAGAAAACACUUCACAGGCUGCGGGCGUCCUUCUACAGCAGCGCCGCCCAGCGCCUUGUCCGGGAUUUUGUGCGGGGCUGCGCUGUUUGUCAGCGCAACAAGACUGAGCACCUCCAUCCGGCUGGCCUGCUUCAGCCCCUGCCCGUACCGAGUAACGUCUGGAGCGACAUCGCCAUGGACUUCGUCGAAGGAUUUCCAUGGGUUGGCGGCAAGUCCGUCGUCUUGACCGUCGUGGAUUGCUUCUCCAAGAUGGGCCACUUUAUUGCUCUCGGCCACCCGUAUUCAGCUCAGUCGGUGGCCCGGGCGUUCUUCGACAACAUUGUACGCCUCCAUGGGUUUCCGUGUUCGAUCGUCAGUGAUCGUGACACGGUCUUCACCAGCCACUUUUGGGAGGAGCUCUUCAAACUGGCCGGCGUCAAACUGCUGCGAAGUUCAGCGUUUCAUCCACAGACGGACGGUCAGUCGGAGGUCACGAACCGCAUUAUUGUCAUGUAUCUCCGGUGCCUUGCAGGUGAUCGCCCUCGCUCCUGGCUGCAGUGGCUGCCAUGGGCUGAGUUCUGCUUCAAUACGUCCUAUCAGACAGCUCUACGGGCUACACCAUUUGAGGUUGUCUAUGGGCGCCCUCCCCCAACCUUGAUGUCAUACUCGGCUGGUGCUGCAAGGGUGGCUGCAGUGGAUCGUCAGCUGCAGGACCGUGACGUCUUUCUGGCGGAGAUCCGGGAACGCCUUCUGCUUGCACAGGACACUAUGCGGGAGACUCAGAACCAGAAGCGCCGUCAUGUUGAGUUCUCCAUUGGUGACCGGGUGCUGCUCCGUCUACAUCAGCGUGCGGCUGUGGGCAUCACUGCCGCAGCACCCUCCAAGCUCGGUCCUCGCUACCACGGGCCCUACAAGGUUCUGGAACGCAUCGGCGCGGUUGCAUAUCGCCUGAAGCUUCCUCCCCGGGCCAGGAUUCAUGAUGUCUUCCACGUCGCCCUACUGAAGAAGUUUGCAGGACCGCCACCAACGGUGAUCACGCCUCUGCCACCCAUUCUUCAAGGCCGCGUCGUUCCUACUCCAUCUCAGGUGGCACGCGCUCGGUUGAACCGAGGCUCCUGGGAGCUGCUGGUCAAUUGGGAGGGCCGCUCUGCGGCUGAAGCUACAUGGGAGCCCAUUGCCGCCUUCAAGGAACGCUACCCGGCGUUUCAGCUCGCGGACGAGCUGUUUGUUGGGGAGGAGGGAAAUGUUGUGGACUCCUUUGUGGGCCGGUCGUACAGGCGUAGGACCAAACAUCCAAGUAGUGGCUGAGAUGGCCUUAUUUAGAAAGAGAAUAAUCAGGGAGGAUUUUUAGGAUCUGGCUAUUGUUUGUUAGGAAAGGAAUGCACCUGGACUAUAAAGGAUGCACUUAGGAAUGUAAUCAGGUUUAUCGAAGAAGAAUAGAACCUCCCGUGUGGGUGGGGUUCCUCUUCGACGGUGGCUGCGAGCGCUUCUGCCGCUGCUGCUGGCGAUUCCCCCACCGCAGCAUUGCCUCGCUA
rnacentral:lncRNA from 1 species